GUUAGGAAUAUUGGACAAUGGGCGAAAGCCUGAUCCAGCCAUGCCGCGUGAACGAUGAAGGCCUUCGGGUUGUAAAGUUCUUUAGCCGAUGAUUAUAAUGACUGUAGUCGGAAAAUAAGCCCCGGCUAACUUCGUGCCAGCAGCCGCGGUAAUACGAAGGGGGCGAUCGUUAUUCGGAAUCACUGGGCGUAAAGCGUGCGUAGGCGGUUUUGUAAGUUAGGAGUGAAAGCCCAGGGCUCAACCUUGGAAUUGCUCUUAAAACUGCAAGGCUCGAAUCUCGGAGAGGAUAGCGGAAUUUCCAGUGUAGCAGUGAAAUGCGUAGAUAUUGGAAGGAACACCAGUGGCGUAAGCGGCUAUCUGGACGAGUAUUGACGCUGAGGCACGAAAGCGUGGGGAUCAAACAGGAUUAGAAACCCUAGUAGUCC
rnacentral:rRNA from 1 species